rnacentral:piRNA from 1 species
UCCCAUCCUGUGUGCUCAGGGGAACUUGGU